CCGGUGGAGUGACUCAGCCUGCCAGCGAUUGCGCUUUCACUUUCUGCCUUUCCUCCGAAUCCAAGGGCACUUAAUUGGGUGCCGCGUGGGCCCUGGCUCCCAACACCCCAGCAGCCUGAACCCCUUUAGCACCUCAGCACCCUCAGCCUCUCCUUGCACCACACGGCCUCCUCCAUUCUUGCCUCUUCAGCCAUUCACUCAGAAAAUGUGUACCGAACUCCUCACACCGAGUCCUUUCGGGCGGCCAGCCGAGGCUUGCAAACCGAACUGAGAUGAUUAACCAGCUCAAAGGCUCACCCCUGCCCCGGCCACGGCCCCCUGACCCCCAGUCUAGAGCAGCACUCUGGAGGAAGGGUCAAGAACAAGAAGUACAAAGGCUGGGAGGAACUCCAGAUAAGGAAGCUGAUUCUGGCUAAGUACUCACAAAUCCAAGCUCCAGAAGGAACCCACGUCGUGGUCAGAAAUAGACCGGAGGGGACUGCGCGGGCUGUGCAGGGCUGAGGGGAGAUCGUGUUCUGUGCCCUGUCUGUCCAGUGCUGCUCAGUCGCUCCCAUUACCCCAGAACUCAGAGUGGACGGUAAGCUUAUUUCUCACUUCCUGAGUCCAGACAGAGACCCCUUUCAGCUCCAUGCCUCUCCUUCCAUGCUGCAGAAGGUGGUGAUGAGAGGGAAGGUGUUGUUUGGUUUGAGCCCUGAGUGUCUGGGAAGGAGCAUGCAGAAUGGAACACGUGAGGGGCCAUGUCCUGGGCAGGCUCCCACCUAAGGGUGUGGGAGCAGGAGCCUCUCGGAAGUGAUAGCAUCCCUAGGGAUGGUCCUAGGGGAAGUGGCUGCCCAGUGCAGGGCGGGCCUGGGGAAAAGGUCGAGGUUGUGUCUGAAUUCCCUGGGGCGAGGUUCUGAGAAGUGCAGGCAGAAGGCCUUGACUUCCUUUUCUUCUCUACUCAGUAUCUACCUCUGCCUGCCUCCUCUGUGGGCUGCUCUGCUGCCCUCAGUGUGAGACCCCUUCCUCCUUCCCUCCCGCUCUGCCACUGCUCCCUGAAUCUCCAAGAUCUGUGCCAUGGCUGGCUUUUACGCCUAGCCCAUGGACAUUGGCUUCACGGAAAUUAAGAUCUGCCCCCUUCACCCCACCUUUAGAAGGGACAGAGACAGCAGUUGGGUAGGGGGGGUGAGAAGAUUUAGGCUUGGGAGCCCAGCUGAGAGGGGCUCCCCCGCAAGCUUCUUUCGGUGGUUUCUCCAAGUUCACUGUGAACAAGUCCGGACACUUAAAGCUUAGCCGCAGUAGAACCCGGGGUAACCACAGAGCAGCUGUGCGUGUCAAGACUUGGGGUUAGCUCGCAGGUAUCUGGGGUUAGACAGGAAUGCUCUCCAGGGGACCAGAGGUGGCUGUCCUUUGGCCACUCCUCCCCUCACUCCUCUCCUUUACUCUCAGCAGCCUUUGUCAUCUCUCUCUCAAUCCCUGAGCUCCCGGCACAGCCCCCCUGCAUGAGAGUCCUUCACACUGCUGCUCAGGAGAAUGCCCGCGCAUAUGGGGCCCUGAAACCUUGCUGGCAUUUGUCACAAGGGAAAUGGCUGGGGUCAGCAGAUUUUGAUUUCUCCAACCCUGGAGACUCGCUUUGCUCUCUGGGACAGGAGCCCAAACAUCUACCAUCCCCAGCAGCAUACUGGAGAAUGAAGAGGGUAGCAUUCAGGAGCUGCAGAUGCAAAGUCUUUGCUGUCACCAAGCUCAUAUUCUGGUGGAGACACACACAGUAAACAAUCUCAUUUAAAAAUAAGAGUCUGGUAGGUGAAGGCAAGGAGAUUGUAGAAAAGAACAAAACAAAACAGAUUGGUGUAAUAGAAGUAGUGGAGGAGCUUGAAUUUUUCUGUGGUAUCCAGGGAAAGCCACCUCACUUAGGGAGGUGAGGCUGGAGGUGAGAUGUAAGG
rnacentral:lncRNA from 1 species